rnacentral:rRNA from 1 species
GGUCAAUGGCAGCAAGCCUGAACCAGGGCCCAUGCCGCGUGCAGGAUGACGCAUCUAUGUGUGUAAAUACUGCUUUUGUAGCGCGGGAAGAAACCCUGGCUCGUGAGCCAGAUGACGGUACAUCGUAAGAAUAACGCGGAUCGGCUAACUCCGUGCCAGCAGCCGCGUAAUACGGAGUAGAUCCAAGCGCUCGUUAUCCGGAAUCAUUGGGUUUAAAGGGUCGUAGGCGGUUUUUAAUAACGGUCUACGUGGUGAAAUCCGGCAGCUCAACUGUCAACUGCCAUUGAUUACUACGGUAGGUACCUUGAAUUAUUGUGAAGUAACUAGAAUUGUAGUGUAGCGGUUGACAGAUAGCUUUCAGAUAUUACAUGGAAUACCCAUUGCGAGGCAGGUUACUAAUUCCGAAUACAAUUUCGACGCUGAUGGACGAAAGCGUGGGGAGCGAACAGGAUUACGAUACCCUGG